CCUGUGAAGGUUUUAAAAGACAUGCUCGGUCUUUCAUCUUGCUUUUCAAAAUUGCAACUUAUCGUUAUUUAUUGUAUAUACCUACAAUGUACCAUUUUAGAAUUUUGAAAGAAGCAAAUUAGCACUUAAGCCAUUUUCGAAAAUACACAAUAAAUGCAGUUUUUCACUAUACGAUCCACAUUUUAUAUAAUCCACAUGUUCCAAAAUGUCGACGGAUGCAAAGCAAGCGAAGAUGGACAUUGACAUAACUCCUCAUGACAAAGGAGUCCUUAAUUGUAUAUUUAACCCUGGAUUGCCUUAUGGAGAUUGUGUAGAAGAGGAAACACCACCUGUAUAUAUAAAUGUGGAGAGUGAAGAAGUGAAACAAGUGAAGGUUCUAGAGCUGCAAGCAGUGAAGGCAGCCGAGGCCGGUGACCUUCCAACUGCCCUUGACCUCCUGAAUGAAGCUGUGACAAGGGCCCCUGACUGGGCUUCCACGUAUAACAACAGAGCACAAGUACUUCGCCUACGGGGAGAUAUCCAAGGAGCACUGGAGGACUUGAAUAAAGCUGUAGAACUGAGUAGGGGAGAGGGCAAGGUGUCAUGUCAAGCAUACACCCAGAUGGGACUUAUCCAUCGACUGGAAGGCGAUGACACCCAGGCAAUAGAGGACUUCAAGAAAGCUGCCCAACUCGGCAGUGAGUUUGCCAAGCAACAGGUGGUGGCACUCAACCCCUAUGCUGCGAUGUGCAACCAGAUGCUGAGUGAAGUCAUGCAGAAAGUCCGUCGAGGAGAACAGUAGAUACCCUGCAGUCAUAGCCAAGUCUUUCACAGUACACAGUAAUGUGAUUGAAAUAAAGAUAAUUACUUGAGUUGAUGUAAUUACUACAGUCAUAGCCAAGUCUUUAACAGUACACAGUAAUGUGAUUGAAAUAAAGAUAAUUACUUGAGUUGAUGUAAUUAAACUAUUGGUAUGAAACAGUGAGGUAACAGUGUGUUUUGGGUGUUAAGGUUAGGUGAGUCUUGUUCAAUUUCUUGUUUCUCUCAAAUGUCUGAAGACGAACUUCGAUGAACAAAAAAAAAUGAUCACUUUCUUUGAAGUAGAUAUGGAAUCGCUUACUGCUUUCCUGCAUUACCUAUAUUUUCUGUGUAUGAAAUGCACAUGUUAUUGUUAUGCUUCAGUCGUUAGAGUUGGAUGGUGGUGAUGCAGCUGUUGUUUUGUUUCAGAUGAAAUGUUUGUUGAAGUGUGGACAAAAAUAUUGCAGCUAUAAAUAUUGCUGUAAAAGGUUGCUAGAAAUUGGUAUUUCCUGUACAGGAGGCAGUGGUGGCCCAAUCAUUGGGGCUCAGCAAUUCAUAGUGCUGAGCUACGUCAGUUGGGCCUUUCAGAAACCUGUAUAAGGGAACCCCUAAUCAACAAUAACUUCACUUAUUGCUAUAAUAAGGUCACUUUACAAAUGUUUUUGUCAACUUAAAGAAUUUUUGCUGACAUUUGCUGAAGUCUUGGAGCCAAAUAUUGGUCUCUGAGCAUGUGUUAAAAUACCCCUUGAAUGUAGAUGCAUUUGUGGAGCCUUGUAAUACCAAGAGGGAAUGGUUGUUUAGCAUUGUGGAAAUGUUAACUAUGGCAGAGG
rnacentral:misc_RNA from 1 species